rnacentral:rRNA from 1 species
GAUGAACGCUAGCUACAGGCUUAACACAUGCAAGUCGAGGGGCAGCGGUAUCGAAAGCUUGCUUUCGGUAGCCGGCGACCGGCGCACGGGUGAGUAACGCGUAUCGAACCUGCCUCAUACUCGGGAAUAGCCUUGCGAAAGUAAGAUUAAUGCCCGGUGUUUUCAGAGUCCCGCAUGAGGCUUUGAACAAAGAUUUAUCGGUAUGAGAUGGCGAUGCGUCCCAUUAGCUUGUUGGCGGGGUAACGGCCCACCAAGGCAUCGAUGGGUAGGGGUUCUGAGAGGAAGGUACCCCACAUUGGGACUGAGACACGGUCCAAACUCCUACGGGAGGCAGCAGUGAGGAAUAUUGGUAAAUGGGCGGAAGCCUGAACCAGCCAAGUAGCGUGCAGGAAGACGGCCCUCCGGGUUGUAAACUGCUUUUAGUUGGGAAUAAAGCGGGGCUCGUGAGCCCCCUUGCAUGUACCAUCAGAAAAAGGACCGGCUAAUUCCGUGCCAGCCGCCGCGGUAA